UCACCUCUUGAACAGAAGAAAAACAAAGACUUCCCACUUUGCACCAACUUGCAACUCUUCCCCAAAUGAUAGUAGAAAAAGGACAAUAGCACAACAAAUGAUCGAUUCGUCCCAACUGUCGCACAGCCCAACAAAUGAGAAAAAAGAGAAAUGAAGACUUCUCACUUUGCACCAACUUGCAACUCUUCCCCAAAUGAUAGUUGAAAAAGGACAAUAGCACAACAAAUGAUCGAUGGUUUCGUCCCAACUGUCGCACAGCCCAACAAAUGAGAAAAAAUCAAGCUAGUAGUUUACACUUUACAUACUCAGCUGGUCCUUUGGAGUUUGGAAUGUAAAAAGUUGUCCGAAUUUACGGGCAUUAACUUUUGCUAGCCCUACGUAAAUUGCAAACAUAUAGGUAGAGACAAAGUGUCAAAGUGGUUCGUCAGAUCAAAGGGUUUUUCACCAAGCAUCCUUUUCGGCUGCAAUGUUAUAAUUCUUUAUGUAUGUUCGGGAAUUUUGGUACAUGUGACAAAAUCAUAGUGAUUAAAUUGAUGUAUCUGUAAAGAUCGUCAAGCCUAAAGCUUUGUAUAAGGAUAUCUGGACGAAAGAAAUCCAUUUCUACAUCGAAAAGAUUCAAAAUUAAUCGAAUGAAGUUAGCUACUUUAGCAAAGAUUCUUGGGAACCAUCACCUUAUCCAUAUUCGAAGUAUCAAGAAGGUUGUAUAUUGUAUUUUCUUUUUUUAGGACAAUCGAAAGUUUCUUUUAAUAUGUAUAUAUUCAUUUAGGUUUCUGAAACAAAUUACACGUAUGCUUAGAGCGAUCAACGUGUUCAACUCGUUUAUGUAAAACUAUCGUAUUGAAAUCUUAUACAUAUUGAAACA